CGACCACAACAGGUGGAGCCUGCGGUUUAAUCGGACUCAACGCCGGGAAACUCACCAGUUAAGACAGCUGAAUGAUAGCCGGGCUGAAGACUCUGCUUGACUAGCUGAGAGGAGGUGCAUGGCCGUCGUCAGUUCGUACUGUGAAGCAUCCUGUUAAGUCAGGCAACGAGCGAGACCCACGCCAACAGUUGCCAGCAUGUCCUCCGGGAUGGUGGGGACACUGUUGGGACCGCCUCUGCUAAAGAGGAGGAAGGAAUGGGCAACGGUAGGUCAGCAUGCCCCGAAUUAUCCGGGCUACACGCGGGCUACAAUGGUCAGGACAAUGGGCAUCAACACCGAAAGGUGAAGGCAAUCUCUUAAACCUGUCCUUAGUUCGGAUUGUGGGCUGCAACUCGCCCACAUGAAGCUGGAAUCUGUAGUAAUCGCGUCUCAAAAUGGCGCGGUGAAUAUGUCCCUGCUCCUU
rnacentral:rRNA from 1 species